rnacentral:rRNA from 1 species
CUGGUAGUGGGGGACAACGUUUCGAAAGGAACGCUAAUACCGCAUACGUCCUACGGGAGAAAGCAGGGGACCUUCGGGCCUUGCGCUAUCAGAUGAGCCUAGGUCGGAUUAGCUUGUUGGUGAGGUAAUGGCUCACCAAGGCGACGAUCCGUAACUGGUCUGAGAGGAUGAUCAGUCACACUGGAACUGAGACACGGUCCAGACUCCUACGGGAGGCAGCAGUGGGGAAUAUUGGACAAUGGGCGAAAGCCUGAUCCAGCCAUGCCGCGUGUGUGAAGAAGGUCUUCGGAUUGUAAAGCACUUUAAGUUGGGAGGAAGGGCAGUAAGCUAAUACCUUGCUGUUUUGACGUUACCGACAGAAUAAGCACCGGCUAACUCUGUGCCAGCAGCCGCGGUAAUACAGAGGGUGCAAGCGUUAAUCGGAAUUACUGGGCGUAAAGCGCGCGUAGGUGGUUUGUUAAGUUGGAUGUGAAAGCCCCGGGCUCAACCUGGGAACUGCAUCCAAAACUGGCAAGCUAGAGUACGGUAGAGGGUGGUGGAAUUUCCUGUGUAGCGGUGAAAUGCGUAUAUAUAGGAAGGAACACCAGUGGCGAAGGCGACCACCUGGACUGAUACUGACACUGAGGUGCGAAAGCGUGGGGAGCAAACGGGAUUAGAUACCCUGGUAGUCCACGCCGUAAACGAUGUCAACUAGCCUUUGGAAUCCUUGAGAUUUUAUUGGCGCACCUAACGCA